rnacentral:rRNA from 1 species
CCUACGGGUGGCAGCAGUCGAGAAUCAUUCACAAUGGGGGAAACCCUGAUGGUGCGACGCCGCGUGGGGGAAUGAAGGUCUUCGGAUUGUAAACCCCUGUCAUGUGGGAGCAAAUUAAAAAGAUAGUACCACAAGAGGAAGAGACGGCUAACUCUGUGCCAGCAGCCGCGGUAAUACAGAGGUCACAAGCGUUGUUCGGAAUCACUGGGCGUAAAGCGUGCGUAGGCUGUUUCGUAAGUCGCGUGUGAAAGGCGCGGGCUCAACCCGCGGACGGCACCGGUUACUGGGAGACUAGAGUAAGGGAGGGGGAAGCGGAAUUCGCGGUGUAGCAGUGAAAUGCGUAGAUAUCGCGAGGAACACUCGUGGCGAAGGCGGGUUCCUGGACAUUAACUGACGCUGAAGCACGAAGGCCAGGGGAGCGAAAGGGAUUAGAUACCCGAGUAGUC